rnacentral:rRNA from 1 species
AGAGUUUGAUCCUGGCUCAGGAUGAACGCUGGCGGCGUGCUUAACACAUGCAAGUCGAACGGGCUCUUCGGAGCUAGUGGCGGACGGGUGAGUAACGCGUGAGAAUCUGCCUACAGGACGGGGACAACAGUUGGAAACGACUGCUAAUACCCGAUGUGCCGAGAGGUGAAACAUUUAUGGCCUGUAGAUGAGCUCGCGUCUGAUUAGCUAGUUGGUGGGGUAAGGGCCUACCAAGGCGACGAUCAGUAGCUGGUCUGAGAGGAUGAUCAGCCACACUGGGACUGAGACACGGCCCAGACUCCUACGGGAGGCAGCAGUGGGGAAUUUUCCGCAAUGGGCGCAAGCCUGACGGAGCAACGCCGCGUGGGGGAGGAAGGUUUUUGGACUGUAAACCCCUUUUCUCAGGGAAGAAGAAAGUGACGGUACCUGAGGAAUAAGCCUCGGCUAAUUCCGUGCCAGCAGCCGCGGUAAUACGGGAGAGGCAAGCGUUAUCCGGAAUUAUUGGGCGUAAAGCGUCCGCAGGCGGUUAAUCAAGUCUGUUGUCAAAGCGUGGGGCUCAACCUCAUACAGGCAAUGGAAACUGAUUGACUAGAGUAUGGUAGGGGUAGCGGGAAUUCCAGGUGUAGCGGUGAAAUGCGUAGAUAUCUGGAAGAACACCAGCGGCGAAAGCGCGCUACUGGGCCAUAACUGACGCUCAUGGACGAAAGCUAGGGGAGCGAAAGGGAUUAGAUACCCCUGUAGUCCUAGCCGUAAACGAUGAACACUAGGUGUUGCGUGAAUCGACCCGCGCAGUGCCGUAGCCAACGCGUUAAGUGUUCCGCCUGGGGAGUACGCACGCAAGUGUGAAACUCAAAGGAAUUGACGGGGGCCCGCACAAGCGGUGGAGUAUGUGGUUUAAUUCGAUGCAACGCGAAGAACCUUACCAGGGUUUGACAUCCCCCGAAUCUCUUGGAAACGAGAGAGUGCCUUCGGGAGCGGGGAGACAGGUGGUGCAUGGCUGUCGUCAGCCCGUGUCGUGAGAUGUUGGGUUAAGUCCCGCAACGAGCGCAACCCACGUUUUUAGUUGCCAUCAUUCAGUUGGGCACUCUAGAGAAACUGCCGGUGACAAACCGGAGGAAGGUGUGGACGACGUCAAGUCAUCAUGCCCCUUACAUCCUGGGCUACACACGUACUACAAUGCUCCGGACAGCGAGACGCGAAGCCGCGAGGUGAAGCAAAUCUCCCAAACCGGGGCUCAGUUCAGAUUGCAGGCUGCAACUCGCCUGCAUGAAGGCGGAAUCGCUAGUAAUCGCAGGUCAGCAUACUGCGGUGAAUACGUUCCCGGGCCUUGUACACACCGCCCGUCACACCAUGGAAGUUGGCCACGCCCGAAGUCGUUACCGCAAC